rnacentral:lncRNA from 1 species
GGGGAAGGCAGUAAAAUGAAGUCGACUCGGUCUGGGCCUGGGGCUGUGCGUAACUCCAGUGUGAGAUCAUUCUCCUGUCACAAUGCUGGCUCUCCCAGACCCUUCUCACUCCUCCGCCCUCCUAGGAAGCAGUUCACUCCUUGUGGGUCCACCCUCCUUCACCAGCCACCAUCUUGUCACCACACAAGCCAACCUGUGGUCUGUGUGGUGACAUAUCCCUGAACGCAGCGAGGUCGCCCUCCCUGGCACUCCGGGGCUAUUUUCUCAGCCACCGGCCACCUCCACGCUGGUCUCCACUUUUGUUCUGUCUCUUCUCAGGCUUCCAGGCUGGGCAGCUCUGUUUCUCCCUGUGAAGUUCCCUUUGCUGCAUGCAGUGCAGCGAAAACAAUGGCUUACAAGUAGAUGAUUGUAAUUAGAUGGGGCUUUCAGCUUAGAGAUCAUAGAUGGGAAUAUAGGUUCUGAUUUUCUUGUUCUUCUAGAAAAUUCAAAAGGUCAAAGGUAACUGCAACACUCCCUCCUAACUCUAUUGGCAGUGAAUAUUCUCUGGAUUGGUCAAGAAGCCAGUUUUGUUUGUCCGGGGCAUCAUUAACAAUAUAUCACCUCUCCCACAGAGGAUUAAUUAAUAUUUCAUUUGAUUGUUUUCUUGAGCUGUUCACUAAAAUAUCUUUUUUUUUUUUUACAAAGCAUUUGUGAGACGUUGCAUGGUGCUCUGAGCUAAAAUGAUCCUCUUCAUCUACUAUCUCAUUUGCAGAUAAUUCUACUCAAAAGCAUGAGUUGCCUUUUCUCAUUGUAUUUGCCUCUCAGAAGGUUUUCUUGUAGAUGGAUUUAUGGAAGUGACUUUCUUCUCUGGCCCGGCGAGAGAACUGCUUUCUGGUUUACAGAACUUGGGUGUAGUGAGAAUCCUCCCUUCCACCAGCACUGAAGAAGCACUUCCUCUGAAAGAAGAUUCUGGAAAUGUAGUGGAAGACCUUGCUACCUCACAUCUACCACCUUGUCUACCUCGUACCUCCUCGGGAGUGCCUGGUGGAGACAUGUGGAAAAGAGCUGGAAAGUGAGAAUAGAAUCCCAUUUAUCCACAGUAGCUCAACUAUAGUUAUUAAGGAGUUAUAAUACUGUUCACUGCUUCUGCCUGUGGUGUCUAUUUCUUCCCUCUUUGUCAAAGCCACUUUCAGGUGCCUUAGCCUCUUCCAGAUCCAAGCUUUCUGACUGACGUGUUUAAGAAAGUGAAAUAAAAGUUUGUAGACUACCC